UUCUGGCCUUGAUGAUAAUGAGCUAAACCUCUGAAACUGAAUAUGUAUUACCUGAAAGCAGAGAGCAGUUGUUGCAUUGGAUCAUUCAGAGAGUAUGCAGCCACAACCAUGCCUUAGAUGUGUGUAAUUCAAGUGGAGAAGACACAAGCCAGUGGUUGCAAUAUCAUCAACACUUGAGUGUUCUGUAAUCGAUUAAUGUUUGCCAUGUGCAAGGAAAAGGCAGAGGCAAAAUGGCGUCGGCUUAUGGAAAAAUAAUUUACAAAAAAAAUGAUGGGAUAGUUCUGCCAAAUUUGAGUGAGUGAAAAAACGAGAAAACUUAUUCUGUUAGAGCCUGAGAAAAGGAAGGAAAGUCAGUCCAACAGUGAGUCUAGCCUCAUUUAUUCCAGGAUUGGUGUCAGCAGAAAACCAACAACGAUGUGGUGGCACACAGUGAACUGACCAGACCCAGGCAGCAGUGGCUCUUUUGGUGGCAAUGGUGCCAAGUCACAGAUUUAUCAGAGGUUGCAGCCGCACAUGGCCAUGAGGUAAACCCUGCCCCGGGUGGAAUUGAGUUUCAUUAGCUUCUACAUGGGAUUGUAAGGACUUGGAACAUAUCACCAACCCAGCAGGGUUCCCCCACCCUCCUGUUUUUAAAGAUUCAUUUUUCUUCCUAAAGGUAACAUGCUUGAACAAAGUUCUUUAUGGUUAGUAACUGUGAUGCUUGAAGUUGGUUAUCCCUUAUUCUAGUAAAUUUUAAAUGUCAAAGAUAUCUUGUUAAAU